GUAUCGAUUUAACAUUAAUCCAAAGACUAAUGCUGUGAAAUAUUUGGGCUCCUUAAUGGACAACUGUUUAGUUAACAAAUCUUUGGGGAGUUGUUGAAUUUUUUGUUUUGUUUUUCUUUAGAUCUCCCCAACCACUUUGGGAAGGAGAUGAUUUGACUCUUAGGGUUACUUACUUCUAAUAUGGAUCUCUCUUCCCAAUUACGUUUAUGAAUUUAUCCUUAGCGUUGCACUACAGCGAUUAUGCAGGGUCAUUCAAAUCUUUAACUAACGCUCAAGUGCUGCCGUGAGGAAUAAAAGCACAGACACCAACGUGACUGCACAGGCAAACGAGCGGCUGCUGGUGUGGCAAGCGGCGAGAUGUUACAGCCCCGAGAACCCAGAGCAGAGCAAAGUGUCUUGGUCCAAGGACCUCAAAUCUUGUGAAAGCUCCCCUGGGUCCCUCCCUUUCCACCCUGUGGAAGGAGGUGAGGUGCAGAGAGCUGCCCCGGCUCACCCUGGGAGCUGGAGAAGCAGGAAGCGCCGCUCUCGCGGUGCCCACGCGCUUCCUGGAGCCAGCAGCGGUGCCUCUAGGGAGAACAUAAAAAGAAACUGAGAAAAGCUCAGCGGUGACAGGACGCAGGUGCCAAAACCGACAAAAGUUGGUGUCCAGAAGUGUCGCACCAGCCAGGAGGGCUAGGACGAUGUGUGAACUUGCAUCGGCCUGCAUCUGAAACUGGAGCCUCCCUCCACCAAAGCUCGGCAAACUUGUAAAAACUGCCCCCGAACCAGCAGGCUGAUUCACGGUGAGGGCGGACGCCUUGCACCGGGCGCUCGGCCCAGGGCUCCUCCUGCCCACCCGCCCUGACCCCUCUGCUUGUGCCUGGGUGGCCGGGUGAAGCCCUGGGGGAUGCAGAAGGCACCCGGGAUGGAGAGAGGACACAAAAUCCUGUAGUCAGGCCUUGGACAUGACAGUAAAGAAGAAUUUAUUACUUAUA